rnacentral:misc_RNA from 1 species
GUAUUACCGCGGCUGCUGGCACGUAGUUAGCCGUCACUUCCUUGUUGGGUACCAUCCUCUUUUUCCCCAACAACAGGAGUUUACAAUCCGAAGACCUUCUUCCUCCACGCGGCGUCGCUGCAUCAGGGUUUCCCCCAUUGUGCAAUAUUCCCCACUGCUGCCUCCCGUAGGAGU